AAUCUCAGAUCCGAUGUGAAAAUUGCGAUGCUGGACUUGGCCAAGGAGAUUAAAGCAGAGCUGUCCUUCCUGGCAGAGAAAGUGGGAAGUCAAACAAAGCAGUUAACAAAAAAAAGGACACCGCAAUGUCCGAGACACAAGGGUCAACCCUCCCACUCAGAUCUGAUACCGAUCUGAUUGAGGUUGAUUUUAAAAUUUGUCCUGAUAAUCGGCAAAUUUAUGUUAACAGAAUGAAGGAUUUGGUCACUCAACAGACAGAACUUUCAAAGUAUAAAAAAUGUACUCUCCGAAGAGUUGAUUGUGGACUACAACGUCGACGGACUGAGCUACAAAAACUCGCUUAAAUCUCAUGAAUCGUUUUUUCCGGCAUUGUUUGAGGCCAUUCAACUCGUUAAUUCGAUGCCAUCCGCUGAUAAACAACUCCGGUCCGCAAUACGAGUACAAUGCGUAAAGAAUAGCGCGAAUCAUCAGAAGAAUAGGGGCUUAAAAUCCCAAAAUAAAGAAAAUAUUAAUUAAAUAAAA